rnacentral:rRNA from 1 species
UACGUAGGGGGCUAGCGUUGUCCGGAAUCAUUGGGCGUAAAGCGCGUGUAGGCGGUUCGGUAAGUCCGCUGUGAAAGUCGGGGGCUCAACCCUCGGAUGCCGGUGGAUACUGUCGGACUAGAGUACGGAAGAGGCGAGUGGAAUUCCUGGUGUAGCGGUGAAAUGCGCAGAUAUCAGGAGGAACACCGAUUGCGAAGGCAGCUCGCUGGGACGUUACUGACGCUGAGACGCGAAAGCGUGGGUAGCAAACAGG